CCAAUGGGUUUCUUACCAGGAGGAAGAGGAACAUUAUCCCAAGUAUGGUUAGCCUCCAAAGCAUCAAACUCCUGUCUCAUUGCAUCCUGCCAUGCUGGGACAGAUGCAGCUUGAGAAUAAUGCAUAGGUUCAGAUUCCAAAUUGGAAGAAGAGGAACCAGAAAAGGCAGGUAGUUGACAGACAUAAUCCUUAAGAUAGGAAGGAGGAUUAUGCUGUCUAGUAGACCUUCUAGGUGUGGGAAGAGGAUGUGAAGGAGGUAACACAGGAGUAGGGAGAUCAGGAUUGAAAGAAGGAAGGGAAGAUGGACCAGCAUCAGAAAAAUCAGGUUCAGGAGAAUCAGUAGUAGAAGGAAGAACAGGAAAAUCAGGGGAAGUAAGUAUAGGAAAGUCAGUGGCAGUGAAUCAUCAGCAAGAGGAAUAGAAGGAAAAGAUGAAGAAGAAGGGUGAGCAGAAGUAGGUUUAUUCUUAAAAGGGAAAUAAGUUUCAUGGAAGACAACAUCCCUUGAAAUAAAACACUUCUUGGUAAUCAAAUUAUACAGUUUAUAACCCUUCUUGGCAAAGGGGUAACCCAGAAACACACAAGAAAAAAAAUCAGGUUCAGGAGAAUCAGUAGUUGAAGGAAGAACAGGAAAAUCAGGGGAAGUAAGUAUAGGAAAGUCUGUGGCAGUGAAAUCAUCAGCAGGAGGAAUAGAAGGAAAAGAUGAAGAAGAAGGGUAAGCAGAAGUAGGUUUAUUCUUAAAAGGGAAAUAAGUUUCAUGGAAGACAACAUCCCUUGAAACAAAACACUUAUUGGUAACCAAAUUAUACAGUUUAUAACCCUUCUUUGCAAAGGGGUAACUCAGAAACACACAAGAGUGGGCUCUAGGUUUCAGCUUAUCCCUUUGAGGGAUAGGGACAAUAGCAUAAGCAAGGCAACCAAAUGCCCUCAAAUGAGAAUAGGAUGGAGCAUUGCCAUACAAAAUUUCAUGGGGAGACUUAUGGUGAAGGAUUCUGGAAGGUAUUUUGUUAAGAAGAUAGGUGGCAGUUAACAGACAAUCC
rnacentral:lncRNA from 1 species